AAGUUAAGCAUAUCAAUAAGCGGAGGAAAAGAAACCAACAGGGAUUGCCCUAGUAACGGCGAGUGAAGCGGCAACAGCUCAAAUUUGAAAUCUGGCCCCUAGGGUCCGAGUUGUACUUUGUAGAGGAUGCUUUUGGCGCGGCGCCUUCCGAGUUCCCUGGAACGGGACGCCUUAGAGGGUGAGAGCCCCGUACGGUUGGCGGCCAAGCCUCUGUAAAGCUCCUUCGACGAGUCGAGUAGUUUGGGAAUGCUGCUCUAAAUGGGAGGUAAAUUUCUUCUAAAGCUAAAUAUUGGCCAGAGACCGAUAGCGCACAAGUAGAGUGAUCGAAAGAUGAAAAGCACUUUGAAAAGAGGGUUAAACAGCACGUGAAAUUGUUGAAAGGGAAGCGUUUGCGACCAGACUUCUUCCUGGCGGAUCAUCCGGCUAUCUUGGCCGGUGCACUUCGCCAGGUCGAGGCCAGCAUCGGUUUCCCGCGGGGGGACAAAAGCUCUGGGAACGUAGCUCCUCCGGGAGUGUUAUAGCCCUCUGCACAAUGCCCCCGGGGGGACCGAGGACCGCGCUCUAAGCAAGGAUGCUGGCGUAAUGGUCGUCAACGACCCGUCUUGAAACACGGACCAAGGAGUCGAACAUUUGUGCGAGUGUUUGGGUGUUAAACCCUCACGCGUAAUGAAGGUGAACGUAGGUGAGAGCCUCCUCGCGGGGCGCAUCAUCGACCGAUCCUGAUGUCUUCGGAUGGAUUUGAGUAAGAGCAUAACUGUUCGGACCCGAAAGAUGGUGAACUAUGCGUGGAUAGGGUGAAGCCAGAGGAAACUCUGGUGGAGGCUCGCAGCGGUUCUGACGUGCAAAUCGAUCGUCAAAUCUGCGCAUGGGGGCGAAAGACUAAUCGAACCAUCUAGUAGCUGGUUACCGCCGA
rnacentral:rRNA from 1 species